AACGAACGCUGGCGGCAGGCUUAACACAUGCAAGUCGAGCGCCCCGCAAGGGGAGCGGCAGACGGGUGAGUAACGCGUGGGAAUCUACCCAUCUCUACGGAAUAACGCAUGGAAACGUGUGCUAAUACCGUAUACGUCCUUCGGGAGAAAGAUUUAUCGGGGAUGGAUGAGCCCGCGCUGGAUUAGCUAGUUGGUGGGGUAAAGGCCCACCAAGGAGACGAUCCAUAGCUGGUCUGAGAGGAUGAUCAGCCACACUGGGACUGAGACACGGCCCAGACUCCUACGGGGGGCAGCAGUGGGGAAUAUUGGACAAUGGGCGCAAGCCUGAUCCAGCCAUGCCGCGUGAGUGAUGAAGGCCCUAGGGUUGUAAAGCUCUUUCACCGGUGAAGAUAAUGACGGUAACCGGAGAAGAAGCCCCGGCUAACUUCGUGCCAGCCGCCGCCGUAAUAC
rnacentral:rRNA from 1 species